AGCCCUUUUCCCUUUCUGCCCUCUGCCAUGUGAGGUCACAGUGUUCCUCCCUCCUGAGGAUGCAGUGUUCAUGAAAGCAAACACUGGGCCCUCACCAGGCAACAAACCUGCUGGUGCCUUCAUCUUGGACUUCCCAGCCUUCGGAACUAUGGAGCCCGCACUCUCCAGUUCAUCACCACCCCAGCAUCCCUACUCUUGCAUCUAACAGUUUCCGCUAUUUUGCACCACCUGCCUGGCCCUUAUGGGCAACUCAAGGAAGAAAGGAAAGAAGAGAUAGAGGAAAAAUGGAUUCAACAAAUGAAAGUGUUCUUUCUGACUACUGCUGUGUUUACAAACAUUUUAAUCAUCAAAACAUGCUUUAUUUGAUAGAAAGAUCAAAUCUGCCUUUGUAAAACAAGAGACUAUUUUAAUCAUUAAGACAACACACAUGUUUGAUUUGGAGGCGUGUUCUCAUUCAAAACCUUGCAAAAUAUAAUUUCUUCUUGUCUGGGAGAUGGUGUCUUUCUUCGGGGAGAACCUUGAGAGAAAUGUCUAUGAAUGUGUCUGUAGAUUGAGGAUAGGCCAACAAACAUAUUUUGAAAUAUUUUUUCUUUCUUUUAAAAAAAUAGAUACUUUUAAAAGAAAAUGCUUAUUUAAAUUACAUAGCUCUUUUUUUCACUCUCAGUCAUCAUUUGUGGUUUCAGUCAGUACUACAUUUAUUCCCCAGAGCUAGGAUUGCUGUGUUUUUAGAAAGGGAGCCUGUUUGAAGGGACUCUAUACUCUUGCAGUAAUUAAAAUCCUUUUAGGAGUCUUUGACUUUGA
rnacentral:lncRNA from 1 species